rnacentral:rRNA from 1 species
AGAGUUUGAUCCUGGCUCAGGAUGAACGCUGGCGGCGCGCUUAACACAUGCAAGUCGAACGGAGAUUUGGCAGAGCUAGCCUUCGGGCUAAGGAAGCCGGAUUUUAGUGGCGAACGGGUGAGUAACACGUGAGGAACCUGCCGAGCAGAGGGGGAUAACACUUAGAAAUAGGUGCUAAUACCGCAUAAGACCACGCUACCACAUGGGUAGAGGGGUCAAAGGAGAAAUCCGCUGUUUGAUGGCCUCGCGUCCGAUUAGGCAGUUGGCGGGGUAACGCCCACCAAACCAACGAUCGGUAGCCGGAUUGAGAGGUCGGCCGGCCACAUUGGGACUGAGACACGGCCCAGACUCCUACGGGAGGCAGCAGUGGGGAAUAUUGCACAAUGGAGGAAACUCUGAUGCAGCGACGCCGCGUGAGGGAAGAAGGUUUUCGGAUUGUAAACCUCUGUCUUCGGGGACGAUAAUGACGGUACCCGAAGGAGGAAGCCACGGCUAACUACGUG